GAAGAAUAUAACAGAGGAAAAACCAGAAAUUGAAAUUUGGUUUGUGAGAGUACCAAGGAAGGAGGAAAAGAGGCUACAAUUAGCAUCUCCUAAACAGGUCACAUAGAGCUGGAGAUGUCCUUCACUGAAAUGCAACCAUGAGACUCCAGCUGCAGGGCCAAGGCACUACCUGCUGCACAUGUUUAUCUGAAAAUAAAUAAGAUAGUGCAAGACCUGCAGAUUGUUGAAUGAAGUUAAUACCAAGUUCAAAAGAAGGGGAGGCACUUCUUCCAUGUAACACACAGCUAAGGUCUGAUGGUACAAUAGUUUUGAUGCAGGCUGGGAAAUGUGUUAACUGUGGGGCUGCUGAACCUGUUAGACUUCCCUCAAGAACCUCUGUGGUAAGUCAAAGCUGCACCAAGAAGUGUCAGCAGUUCAUGGAGUUCCCUGGCUGAGAGGCACAUAGUUAGAGGUAUGUUUGCAAAAUGUUCUUCAAUGCAUUUGACCAGGGUACACAUGGAGGAAGGACACUACUGCCCAUGUCUGAUGCAGCAGUUAACUACAAAACAUCCCAAAUAAGCCUGGUGUGGCUGACAGCCUGGUUAGGCAAUGUCUGUAACUGCUUUGGGCCUGUGAAUAAGCUACCUUCAUAAGCAUUACGCUGAUGUUCAAUCACUGAUCUCACAUGGAGGGAAACUGUUUGCCUCUACUCUGCAGACUGAAGCUGUCUAGAGCAGCUGACACAACACCUGAGCAAUUACAUGCCAAUGUGGGAAAAGUCAGAAAUAUUCAGCCUCACAUUUUAUCAGUCAGAAAAACACACUUUCAUCCCCUUGUUCUUCCUUGUAAGUAUAUAUUAGAUACUGCUUUUAAGAGUGAAACAACAUGCCAUUAGGUAUCGCUUCUGGUGUCAUUUCUAAGUUAGCUUUGUUAAAUUAAUCAUGAUAAUGCACUGGUGCCUGGACUUCUUCAGCAGCAGCAUAAAUGAUGAAUCAACUGAUUCCAUACACCCUGGCAGGGAUGCAGAGCCUGGAUGCAUGCUUCCCACUCACAUGUACAGAGUAGGCUUCUGCUACGUUUAUCAGUCACAGAUAUGCAAAAUAGUUAUGGGUGGCAGUUUAGAGGGGAGGCUCAGAAACUGGGUGGUGAAAGAAACGUUUAGUAAAGGCACAUAGUGAACCAGCAACUCCAUCGACUUUCCUCCAUGGGAAGUUAGCCUGUCAUUACUAUGGCCCUGCUUUUUUUUAUUAUUAUUAUUUUUUUAUUUUUUUUUCCUAGAACUCUUUUAAAUUCACAGGAGAUACAAGGAGGCCUAAUUUCAUUUCCUUAAAUUUGCUAUUGCACAGACUGCUUGUUCCAAUGGGGUGUAAUAUUUCAUUAAAUGAAGAGGACAAUAAUUAUGUUUUAAGAUAUACUCUAAUAUCAAUGUUUUCCUUGUUAAACAUUUUGUGCUUCAUAUACGUGAGGGAAUCCUAUGUAGGGGGUUUUGUUAAUGUUUACAUUUCUGUGAAUUUGAAGUGGACGUGGUGUGCAAGAAACCUGCAGGUCUCUUUUUGCAUGACGUUCUGUGUUUGCAUCUUCUUACCUCUCGUCUUUUGUGGUUUACAGAAAUUUUGGUAGCACAGGCCUGUAUGGGUUGAGCCACGUUUAUGUAGCUAUCAGAAAUCUCCUAGCACCUACCACUACUCGGUGUAUAAGAGCAUUGCUUACAAGUCAAGUUGCAGUGUGUUGCCAGCUCUUUUCCAAAGCAAAUGAUUGGUACACACAUUUUCAACAUCAGUUACCAGGGCAACAUGGGGCACUUACGUGACGAUCCAGUAGUUCUACAUAGCCCAAAAUGCUCCUGUCAUUAAAAAUUAAUCCAACUGGGGCUGAUCCCCAGCUUUCUUUGUGAUGUAUCUCCUAGAAAACCAUCUUCCAUUUAGGUCUUCUAAAAAAUUGUUUCCAAGAGAGCAAUAUACUCUGAGAUAUUUCACGUUUUGUUUCAAGGCCCAAUCCUCCAUUCAAUAGGACUAGAUUUCUGUUGCUGCUGCUUUUAUUUUAUUGUAUUUUCAUAUCUGUGUUUUCCUGGGAGACCUAUAGAACACCCGUGCUGCUUUCUGUUUGUCUCAUGAUCUGUACAACAUGAUAGGUGAAAAUAAAAUAGUGUAAUAUUCAGGUUACUCAGCCCAAUUUAUCCACUUAGGUCUAUAUACACUUACACAGAUGGCACAAAACAACUUCAGAUCACUGUUUUCCUGCAUAUAGCCCACAACUGAAAUGUCUAGCCUCUUCAGAUAACCCUCACAUAACGAAAUAGGAAAGGAGAGGAGGCACACUGAGGCAGAUGUAAAAGGCUGUAUGGUAUCAGGGGAAGGGGGACUGAUGGAAAUUAGAGAGGAGGUGGUGAACUUUGUCUCCUGUUACACAAGGGAAUAUAGUCAUUACUGCUACUACCACUAACUCAGUUUUGCUUCUUUUAUAAUAACAAGAAUGGUACUUAAAUGGCAGCUAUAGACCUGAUAUAAGGCCUGAUAUACUAGAGAGGAUGGUAAACUGAAGUUUCCCUUCAGAGGUAUCCUGGGCAAAAAGCUUACCUUCAAACUUUACAGUAUUGCAUGUAAUAGUAGUGCACAUUUAUGCAGUAAAUUUCUUUGCACUGAGGGCUCUGAGUCACUCCUCAAAAUGCAUCUAACAAUGCCUGCCUUCACUUUUAAA